rnacentral:lncRNA from 1 species
CCUUUUGCACAACUUUGUAUUUGAAUUUCUUGAAGAAUAUGACACCCUUCUCAAGUUCGAAAAAGAUUUCUGGAAGACUAAAUCCAAAAUCAACUGCUUAGUGAGGGAGAUUCUAAUAGAAAAUUCUUCCUAUUUCUCCAAUUUGUUCACUACUAAAUAUCCUCAUUCUAUCUUUAACAAAAUAAUCAUAGCCAAUGCUCUUGACA